GUCUGCUGAGCCCUCUUGAUAUUUUGAUAAAACAAACUCUCCUCUCCUACCGAGAGAGAGAAAAAAAAGGAACUGGCACAGAGGGACAGAAGCAAUGUCUGUCUGCUUUGAUAAUACUGCUGAUGAUAAAAGGAAAACUAAAAUUGUCACUCACGACCACCUGCCUCUCCUGACCAGGGAUACAGGAGAGAGCCUUGGAAAAACAAAGAAGGAGCAAAAGGCAGUAGACAAAAACCUGGGAGAUUUACUGAAGGAGUUUCCAUCCUGCAUGUCUUGGGACAGAUUCUGCUUCUGUGACUCAGUUUCUCUGCUCAGCGCUACUUCAUGCAGAAAUCAACUGCACUGAACAGACACCCAAGACUCACAUGAAACAAUACUAAACAAAAUGAGGGAGCCACAGCUACGAACAUCCAUAAAGAAAGAAGGUCACAGCAAGGAACAAUAACAGUUUCUUACUUCUCAAAGAAUCUUUUUGGUUUUCCUACAGUGACAUGAGAAGCUUAAUUCCCAUGGAGCAUGUGUUCUUGCUCAUUAAUUUCUGUGUUUUUAGAGGUCUGGAAUUGGAUCUCAGCAGCAAAGCUCUGCUGGUACAUCUGCAUCUCACAUUGGAAAGAUUUUCCCUUUUUUUUUUUUUUAAUGUACAUCUGUAUUGUUAACAUUUUCUUUUCUAACUUGUGAUUCCAUUUAAAACAAUAAUGAAAUAACUCAGUCUUGGUAAGCUAUAAUUCUCAUAGUGUUAGAAUUCACAUUAUCAGUUGUUUCCAAAGAGACCUGAAACUAGCAAAGAAUAUCUUACCAACCAUUCAUUUCAUACUCUAUUAUGAAUGUUUUUCCUAGCACCUACCUGGACAGACUGGUCAGAAUGAACUGCAUCAGGGUGCCCCUACACUAAAUUUUUGUCUAUUAGAAUACAAUAGCAUAGAACAGAACCAAUUUUUCCAAUUACCAACUGUCCAUCUUUCCUAACUAGGGAUUUUUCUUCCCCUGUAGCUCUAUAUGAAAAAUUUACAUUUGCAUGUUUGUUACGGUUUCAGCGCAAGCUCACUGACCUGCACGUAAAAGAAACAGCCCCUGUAGGGCAGAAAAAAACAGCUUUGGAAAAAUGACUACCACACAGAUACCCAAAUAAUUCAUCAUGAUUAAUUUUAUUUCCAUAAAUCCCAUGAGAAGUAAUAAUGAUUUGCCUCUUCUUAUAAAGCAUUGCCCCCAGCAUUAUUUGUAACACUGAAGUGAAUACAGGGCACAUCAUUGUACUCCCUGGGUCUCAUCAUAAUCCAUGCCCCACUGAAAAAUACAAAUUAUAGACAAGACCCCAGGGAUCUUAGACUCCUUGGAGCUAAAAUCAACAGCAGGAGGAUUCUACAAUAAAACUCAAGUAUCAAAUGAGACUACAGUAGUUAAGUGAGACUGCAGCGGGAUCUAAGUGGAACUGAUUUCCUACAGCAACUAAACAUCUGCACUACCAUAAGCAAACAAUCACAGGACAGAUUCCUCUCCUCAUUCCCGAUAAGCAGGCACUGGUCUCUCUCCAGGAGAGCAGACCCACACAACAUCCUUGCUGUGCCAGCACCGCCACUAAAAUAGCCGCAAGUUUCUUUAAUGGAGGUUCAACACAGUAGCCCAUCGCACUGAAGCAUUUCUGCUCAAGGGGAAAUCACAGAAUUAUCAUCUCUUGGGUUCCUGACUUCAGUCAGGAUGAGAUCGUUCCAUAGGGAAACUCACACAGAAGUCAUUUCUUUGAGUGACCUUUCAAAUCCAGGGGAUGCAUCACAACCCACGUCUGGGCAGAUGACAAACUCUACUGACCUUUCCCUUCCACUUCAUCAGUCUAGAUGGGAUUUCUGCUCCUCACGGUGGGGCUUGUCGAGACAAACAUUUUUAUUCAUCUUAUUUUAAUGCAUAAGAAAAGAAGUACAAUCUAACUGUUGCUGUGUUUUUGUGUCUCAACCCUUUCAGUCCCUGCUUUUCCUCACUGAGCAUUUGUUAAUUGUGACUUCAGCCAGUAACUGUGUUUCGUAGGCCUGUAAAGUAUCAUGAAUGUGUAUGGCAUGGCUCAAGUAUGCAAACCUAAUUAUGUUAUUAGCAUCCUCCACCACCACAGUCUGAUUUCAUUAGCUACUAACUUGGUAACUGCUAAGAGCUACAAACAAAGCUGGAUUUCCUCAGAAAAAUCAUAACAGUAACUUUCCAGAGGUAAAGAGCAUUGCAAACACAGAGCUUUCUACUUCGAGAAUACCGCUCACAAAGUGAAGUGGAAAUGUGCAGGCAGUAUUUACAGCUUUUUGUUAUUAAAGCUGGGGAAAAAAGCAUUGAGAGAAGUUAGGUGCAAAACUAACACUCCCUGUCAGUUUUCAAUAUUUUGAUUUUCAGCCAUAAUUAAUAGUGAUUUUUCAGUAGCUUUGUCUCCUAGUUUUACAGAUCUGAACAACAGGCAAAAGAAAACUUAUUUCACAGAAGGAGCUAGUAACUAGCAUAGCUAAUAUAAUUGAGUGAGUUUUUUAAGGAAAAAGCAAUCCUAUUUUUGCAAUAAAUAACAAUUUUGUGAAUUUGAAAACAAUCAUUUUGUUUCUGCAAGCUGGUUUUCCUUCAGGAAAGGAAAUCAAUCAGAAGCAUGGCAAUUAAUAAUCAUGAAAGGAUUAAUUUAAUGACAUGACAACAUGGGUAUAGGUGAGCAAUUCAUGAUGUCUUGCAGGUCCAUAUAUUGUCACAGCAUGGAGUGGGGUGAGGACUCCCAUUGUCUGCAGGUUCUCUUCCAUCUUUUUAUUUCCCCAUUAAGACUAAGCAUCCUAUAAAUCUGAUUCAUUUAAGCAUUUUGUUGGAAGGUAGGAGGCUUGAGGUAUGCUUAGUGGAAAAGAAAAAGAAAAAUUACCACUGCUGAUGAACACAAAUGGGAAGCCAGAAAUUAAUGACAGUGACUGUAACAGCUGAUUAUAGGCUGCACCUGCCAUGCAGGACCAGCCCAUGGAUGGCCUCAUUGCCUGCUCAGUCUGUUUGCUUUCCAUUGGCUCAUAGGAAAGAGGUUUCAAGGGAAGAGUGAAGAUUACUUGCAGGGUGGGACGGGCCAGGACCCAGGUUAGAUCUGUGUGUGUGGUAGAUGUACACAGAAAGGCACAGAAUCUGCCUCUGACAUAUCGUUGAAGAAGAGCUGGAUCCCCCAUGUGGCUUUCCUCCCUUACCUUUUGUGCAUCUCUAUCUACUUUGCCACAUCAUGACUUAACAGUCAGGGUAUUCUCUUCUUUCUGUAUUUUCUUCCUGCUCCUACUCUCUUUUUAGGGCUUAGUAUUGUAGAACCACUGCUUCAUUUCCUUUUCUUACAAAGAGGCACAUGGAGGUUUACCACAGUUACCUCUCCCACAAUGCACAGUGAGAUGGACUCCCCAGUUUUACACAACAUCCAUCAGCCUUUAA